rnacentral:misc_RNA from 1 species
UCGCGCGCCCGCCCGAGCCCGAGGACUACGAGCUGCGGUGGGCCGGACUCAAGGCCCACAACCGCUGGCUCGCCGACUUCUGCGCCGACGCGCCCGGUCGGCGCGCCGGGAUGGCGCAGAUCUUCCUCAACGACAUCGACGACGCGGUCGCGGAGAUCGAGUGGGCGGCCGAGCACGGGCUGUUCGGCGGGGUCAUGCUCCCCGGCGUCCCGCCCGACUGCGACCUCCCCCCUCUCUACACGGCCGACUACGACCCGAUCUGGGCUGCGUGCCAGGACCUGAACCUGCCGAUCAACAACCACUCGGGCGCGGCCGGCCCCGCACCGGCCGAGACCCUCGCCGGGACGGCCGUGUUCAUGGUCGAGUUGGGCUGGUUCUCGCACCGCGUGUUCUGGCACAUGGUCUUCGGCGGCGCGUUCGCGCGCUUCCCCGGCAUCAAGCUCGUCCUCACCGAGCAGUCGGCGGGUUGGGUGCCGCGUGUGCUCGAGAUGCUCGACCACCAGUACGCACGGUUCCGCGACCCGAACACGGCGGAGUCGCACUUCGGCGGUGAGCUCACGAAGACCGUCACCGAAUCGCCGAGCUACUACUGGCGCGAGAACUGCUACGUCGGCGCGAGCUUCUUCCGUCCGUGCGAGACGCCGCUGCGCCACGAAAUCGGCAUCGACAAGAUCAUGUGGGGCCAGGACUACCCGCACAUCGAGAGCACGUACCCGUACACCACCGAAGCGUUGCGCCACAGCUUCGCCGGCGUCGACGCGGGCGAGGUCGCGCAGAUGGUGGGGCUCAACGCGGCGCGCGUGUACGGAUUCGACCUCGACCUGCUCUCCGACACGGCGGCGCGCGUCGGACCGACGGUCGACGAGGUCGCGGUGCCGCUCGACGUCAUCCCCGCCGACUCGCGCUCGAUCGCGUUCGCGGGCGAGUCGGUGAAGCCCUGGUGACACCACCUGGUGGACGCGUCCCCACGGCGACAGACUGACGAUCCCUUCACCGUUCGGGAGUGACCAUGUCGACCGAAGCACCGAUGAUCCGUCCCGCCGAGAUCGCGGGCUGGCCCCUCCUCAAGCUCGUCUACCGCACCGACCCGGAGUGCAUCGCCGAGCUCCUCCCGCCGGGAAUCACGCCCGGCCGCGAGCCGCACGUGCACAUCAACAUCUACUGCGUGCCGGUGAACGGCGAGCCCGAGUGCGGCGUGUCCACCAAGGUGCCGGCCGACUACGACGGUCGCGAGGGCUACUACAGCCUCGGGCUCGGGAUCGACCAGGAGUCCGCGGUGUUCAUCAGUCGCGAGAUGAACGGGCAGC